CCUAUAAGACUGGGAUAACUUCGGGAAACCGGGGCUAAUGCCGGAUAAUAUUUAGAACCGCAUGGUUCUAAAGUGAAAGAUGGUUUUACUAUCACUUAUAGAUGGACCCGCGCCGUAUUAGCUAGUUGGUGGGGUAAUGGCUUACCAAGGCAACGAUACGUAGCCGACCUGAGAGGGUGAUCGGCCACACUGGAACUGAGACACGGUCCAGACUCCUACGGGAGGCAGCAGUAGGGAAUCUUCCGCAAUGGGCGAAAGCCUGACGGAGCAACGCCGCGUGAGUGAUGAAGGUCUUCGGAUCGUAAAACUCUGUUAUUAGGGAAGAACAAAUGUGUAAGUAACUGUGCACGUCUUGACGGUACCUAAUCAGAAAGCCACGGCUAACUACGUGCCAGCAGCCGCGGUAAUACGUAGGUGGCAAGCGUUAUCCGGAAUUAUUGGGCGUAAAGCGCGCGUAGGCGGUUUCUUAAGUCUGAUGUGAAAGCCCACGGCUCAACCGUGGAGGGUCAUUGGAAACUGGGAAACUUGAGUGCAGAAGAGGAAAGUGGAAUUCCAUGUGUAGCGGUGAAAUGCGCAGAGAUAUGGAGGAACACCAGUGGCGAAGGCGACUUUCUGGUCUGUAACUGACGCUGAUGUGCGAAAGCGUGGGGAUCAAACAGGAUUAGAUACCCUGGUAGUCCACGCCGUAAACGAUGAGUGCUAAGUGUUAGGGGGUUUCCGCCCCUUA
rnacentral:rRNA from 1 species